CUUUCAUAAACAUUAAAAAUCUUAAUCAACCUCAAACUUUUGAACAGUAUAUGUGCUCAUUUCUGUUUCAGCUCCGAAUCAAAACUGAGAGUGGACGAUCCUCUGCUGUUGACAAGAGGGUUUGAGAGAGCAAAGCAGAAACUACUGCAAGUACUUCAGGAUGACAUCUCUACGAAUCUACAGAACAUCCUGCGCUACGAUGAGGAUCAUGGACAAAAUGAGGACUCAAUGGAUGAAGAAACUUUCCUCAAAGUGCACAUAGAUGUCAUUCAGUGCCUGAAUUGUGCUAUUUUAGAAGCUGAAACAGUUGGUCUGACUUUGAUGCACGCCGUACAAAUACUCUGUAGUGAAGAGCUGCAUGA